CNACCUGCCGAUGACUCNGGGAUAGNCUUUCNAAAGAAAGAUUAAUACCCGAUGGCAUAGUUCUUCCUCAUGGUGGAACUAUUAAAGAAUUUCNGUCAUCNAUGGGGAUGCGUUCCAUUAGGUUGUUGGCGGGGUAACGGCCCNNCNAGCCUUCNAUGGAUAGGGGUUCUGAGAGGAAGGUCCCCCNNAUUGGAACUGAGACACGGUCCAAACUCCUACGGGAGGCANCANUGAGGAAUAUUGGUCAAUGGACGAGAGUCUGAACCAGCCNAGUAGCGUGAAGGAUGACUGCCCUAUGGGUUGUAAACUUCUUUUAUACGGGAAUAAAGUGAGGCACGUGUGCCUUUUUGUAUGUACCGUAUGAAUAAGGAUCGGCUAACUCCGUGCCAGCAGCCGCGGUAAUACNGAGGAUCCNAGCGUUAUCCGGAUUUAUUGGGUUUAAAGGGAGCGUAGGCGGACGCUUAAGUCNGUUGUGAAAGUUUGCGGCUCAACCGUAAAAUUGCAGUUGAUACUGGGUGUCUUGAGUACAGUAGAGGCAGGCGGAAUUCGUGGUGUAGCGGUGAAAUGCUUAGAUAUCNCGAAGAACUCCGAUUG
rnacentral:rRNA from 1 species